AUGGCAUGUCCUGUCCUAAGACACGCAGGAUGUGCUGAAGGCCGCUCUCCACUAACAAGGCAUCCUUCAGGGCUCAAUGAUCACAGCAGAUACCUCCGUCGUCUUGCCCCUGCGGGAGAAUACGCAGAAUGCACUCAAUUCUCAGACUCCUGAGGAGAUGAGGAAGUGUGCACUCAAGUAACAGUGCUGUCUGAAAGACUUAGAGCAACAAGGUGGAUCUGACAAGCAGUUGACCAUGAACAAAGAAGUUUUGCAACCUCCUUGGACCCCUGAUGACAGCCAGAUGUCUGUGGCCUCCAGUCACCUCCAGACCUUCACCCCCUGCAUGGUCCCUCUUCCUCUAAUAUGAAAGAAGCCUAAAAAAAUCUAUCAAUCUAAGUUGGUUCUGGCUGGGCACGGUGGCUCAUGCCCGUAAUCCCAUCACUUUGGGAGGCUUAGGCAGGAGGAUCACGAGGUCAGGAGUUCGAGACCAGCCUGGCCAAGAGACCAGCCUGUGGUGAAACCCCAUCUCUACUAAAAAUACAAAAAUUAGCUGGGAGUGGUGGCGGGCACCUGUAAUCCCAGCUACUCGGGAGGCCUAGGCAGGAGAAUUGCUUGAACCCAGGAGGUGGAGGUUGCAGUGAGCUGAAGAUUGUGCCAUUGCACUUCAGCCUGGACAACAGAGUGAGACUCCGACUCACAAAAAAAAAAAAAAAUGUUCUUUAGGACAUUGGUCCUCCAUCUUCUCAGUUGGAAGCUCCCAGAAAUAAAGUCAUCUUCC
rnacentral:lncRNA from 10 species